AAAUCCAUACAGAUGUGUUCACCAAAUUAAAGUGAAGGGCGAGGCAAAAGGCUAAGAUCAGUGAUCAGAUGCCCUUCGCGCUCGAAAUUAGCGUAUGCUCCUACGUAAUCUAUUUUAUCUAAUCUUCCCUUCAACACGAAACAUUUGUCUCUUCCCUGUGAUGUCGAUGGAUGAAAGAAACGUGGACAAACAUCUUUGGUAAUUCAAUAAUUUAUUGAUUUUCACGACUUUUGCCAGUUGGUGUACGCCAUAAAUAUAUAUAGUGCCCUUCACCGAAAAUAGCGAUGAACAGAUGCUCUCCAUUUAUUACCAUUCUUCAUAAUAACUUCAACAAGAAAGUCUUCUUCUUCAACUACUUCCUUACCCACUACAAUCCUCCUUUCAUUUCUAGCUUCCAUCAGUCUCGUCGAUUUUCUGCUUCAGGUUGUAGAACAUCCAUGGAGGUUGUGAAAGAGAUUGCUAAUCAUGGAAGUAUUGCUCUGAAAGCCGAUGACAAGAGUUAUGCCUACAACCAUUUAGUUUCUUCUGCUUCAAAAAUAUCCCUUUUGUUAUCCAAUCAUGACCAAAAACUCGAUAAUAAUAAGAGUCUAAAUGGUGCUAGAAUAGGUGUUGUGGCUAAACCUUGUGCUGAGUUUGUUGCUGGAGUACUUGCAAUAUGGUUAAAUGGAGGUGUAGCUGUUCCACUUGCACUCAGCUACCCUGAAGCUGAGUUGUUACAUGUCAUGACUGACUCGGAUGUGUCCAUGAUUUUGAGUACUGAAGAUCACAGUGAGCUUAUGCAAAAAGUUGCAGCUAAAACUGCUGCUCAAUUUUCUCUAAUACCAGAUGUUCCUAUCAUGACUUCACAAACAGUAGAUAAUCAAAAAGAGAUUGUAUUUGCAAAUAACAUAAAAGAUGAUGAUCCAGCAUUGAUUUUGUAUACUAGUGGAACAACUGGGAAACCUAAAGGAGUUGUUCAUACACACAGUAGCAUUUUAGCACAGGUGAAAACAUUAUCAACAGCUUGGGAAUACACAUCAAGUGAUCGUUUUCUACAUUGUCUUCCAUUACACCACGUUCAUGGGCUCUUCAACGCACUAUUUGCUCCUCUUUAUGCGGGGUCCAUGGUUGAAUUUAUGCCAAAGUUUAGUGUGAGUGGUAUUUGGAAAAGAUGGCGUGAAUCUUAUCCAAAAGAAGGAGCUAAGCUUGAUGAUGCAAUUACUGUAUUUACAGGGGUUCCAACCAUGUACACAAGGCUGAUACAAGGCUAUGAUGCAAUGGAUCCAGACUUACAAGCUGCUUCUGCAACAGCUGGAAGCCAACUGCGUCUAAUGAUGUGUGGCUCCUCAGCUCUACCCCUACCCGUAAUGCAAAGGUGGGAGACCAUCACAGGACAUCGAUUAUUAGAAAGAUAUGGCAUGACAGAGUUUGUGAUGGCAAUUUCAAAUCCGUUAAAAGGAAUGCGAAAAGGAGGCACUGUAGGCAAACCCUUUCCAGGAGUCGAGGUCAAGAUUCUUACAGAAGAUAAUGUUAAUGAUGGGGUUGGUGAGCUUUGUGUGAAAAGCCCUUCGUUGUUUAAGGAAUACUGGAAACGUCCAGAAGUAACAAAGGAAUCAUUUAUAGAAGGUGGCUUUUUUAAAACUGGUGAUGCUGUUAGAGUUGAUGAAGAUGGAUAUUAUGUCAUUUUAGGACGUACUAAUGCUGAUAUAAUGAAGGUUGGUGGAUACAAGUUGUCAGCAUUAGAAAUUGAAGCAAUUCUUUUAGAACAUCCAGCUAUUUCAGAAUGUUGUGUGUUGGGGUUACCGGAUAAUACUUAUGGAGAAGCAGUGACUGCAAUAAUUGUGCCAGAUAUGGAGAUAAAGAAAGCCCGUGAAAAAGACUUGAAGCCUGCAAUAUCUUUGGAUGAACUCUCUUCAUGGGCUAAACAGAAGCUUGCUCCAUACAAGCUACCAACCCGAUUAUUCUUAUGGGAAUCACUGCCUCGUAAUGCCAUGGGGAAGGUGAACAAAAAGGAAUUGAAGAAGACACUCGCUGCUGAAGAACAAUAAACCAGUUUCACCAUAUGCAAAAUAUGCAAUUUAUUAAUAUUAAUAGACUGAAUUCUAUUUCACUCACUGAUGUUGGAGGUGAGGGAUGCACACUAAGAGCGAUUCAUAUGAGCUUGAGAUAUUGGGGUCCGGGGACAGAGCCCCUUGGCGGGGUCUAUGGGCAACGCCUCUAGCGAGGUCCAAUGGGCAGAGCCUCUGGCUUGGGGCAACACCCCAAAACAUAAACAAAUUUUUAUAUCGGGUAUGACUGCAGCCAUGCAUAUUCCCGUCAAAACUCACUUGAUGACACCAUGAUGAUGUAUGUGUUGGUUAUGUCUGAUACCUACCUAUUUUGGCGCCAAAUUUGCAUGCAAUCAUCAAUAACUAUAUUUCCCUCUUGUAUAAGAACAUGUUUUUUGUUCCAGAAAAAGGGUUACAAACAUAUACUUGAAAUAUGUUCAUUAAUAUUUUUUCUCUCUCUCAAGAACACAUCAAGCAAUGUACUAUAUCUUUACCAAUCCGAAUUAGGCCUGUAAUUUGGAUUGGUUCAUUCUUGGAUUAUCCCACUUCUGAAUUUGUGUACCCAGGUAAAAAGGAUGAAUUAUAUAUCUCAGAAAGUGUUUGAAAACACGAUCCUUGAAUCUAUCAAAGUUUGUAUUUAUUGUUAUUUCUGAUUCCCUAAAAUAUAACAUUUGAAAUCUGUAAUUUCUGUAAAGGGAUAACAAUGGCAGAAUCUGUCAGGAACAUGAGUUCUAAGUUUGGUAAACUUGAUAAGUUUGAAUGAAACGAAUUUCGUCGUUGGCAGAAAAAGAUGCACUUUCCCCUUACCACUUUGAAGGUUGUACAUGUUUUGAGUACUCUUGCACCAGAAGCCCAAGAGAAUGAAACGCUAGAACACACCAGAAAACAUUGCAAAUGGGAAAAUGAUGAUUACAUAUAUUGUGGGCACAUUCUGAAUGGUAUGUCUGACUCUCUUUGACAUCUAUCAAAAUCAUGAAUCUGCAACGAAUAUAUGGGAUGCACUUGAAUCCAAAUACAUGGUUAAGGAUGCUUCAAGUAAGAAGUUUCUUGUUAGUAAUUUCAAUAAUUACAAAUUGGUGGAUUCAUGGCCUGUCAUGGAACAAUACAAUUAACUCAUAAGGAUUCCGGGACAAUUUGAACAACAUAAGAUGCAAAUGGAUGAAUGCAUUUCCGUUUCAAGUGUCAUUAACAAAUUGCCCCCAUCAUGGAAAGACUUUAAGCACACUUUGAAACACCAAAAGGAAGAGUUGUCUCUGGUACAACUUGGUAGUCACUUAAGAAUUGAAGAGGGUAUUCAAGCUCAAGAAAGUGAAAAGGGAAAAGAAAAGGAAGUUCCUGGAUGUUCAGUGAACAUGGUAGAAAAUGACAAACAUUAGAAAAAUAACAAAGGAAAAAGGAAGAAGAAAGAUGACCAUCACAAAGGUUCAAAUAAGAAAGAAAAACUUGUGUGUUGGAAUUGCAACAAACCUGGUCAAAUGAAACGAGAUUUUCAUUUGAAGAAGAACAAAAAUGGUGCAAGCACUUCUAGAUAAGGAUCUAAUGAUCAAGGUCCUAAACCACAAGGAUGAUGAUCAUGCAUGGUGGAUAGACUCGGGGGCGACGAGUCAUGUGUGUAAAGAUCGCUCUUGGUUCAAGGAUUAUGAAGUAGUUAAUGAUGGAUUGGUGAUGUACAUAGGGGACCAUAAUAAAGCACCUCUUGUGUGUCUUUAUGUUUUAGUUCUAAAAAAAGUCUUCUUCUUAAGAAUGUUAUUCAUGUUCCUAAGAUUAGAAAGAACUUGGUUUCUGGUGGUGUAAUUAAUAGAUGUGGAUAUAAACAAGUCUAUGAAUCUGAUACGUUUGUAUUAGCUAAAUGUGGUACAGUUGUUGGGUUUGGUUAUUAUUGUAAUGGAAUGUUUAGGUUGAAUGUAAACAAUAAAGUUGCAGAUUUUAUAUACAUGGCUUGUUCUAGUA